UUCAGUGCAAGUGCAUUUGCACUUAGUCAGAACAAAAAUCUUUGCAGAUGUAUCCAGGAACUGCAUUUGCCAGCAUGUCCCGCAUAACAUGAAGAAAGGCAUAAAAAAUUUCCCAUUGUGAUAAUCCUUUCUGUAACCAUUGGCUUAAUUGUGUUUUUCAUAACAUUGUUCUGCCUAUUUUGUUGGAGAAAGUCAAGAAAGAACCCCACGUCAGUAGAAUCAGUAACUUUCAUAGUAGGUGGCUUCCUUGAAUUUCAUACAAGGAUCUGUAACUAGCAACCAGAGAAUUCUCU
rnacentral:lncRNA from 1 species